AAGUCGUAACAAGGUUUCCGUAGGUGAACCUGCGGAAGGAUCAUUAACAAAUCCGUCGUGAGAUCUCUCACUGACAUGAACCGGAUCUCCGAGAGGAGAUUCGCCUGUGGGUCUGCUGGUGGUCGUUCGACCUCUGGCCUGACCCGCAGAAAUAGGCUAUGUUUGUAUGUCUUAUCAUCGCUAAUCACAAUCAAUCAUAAACAACUUUUAACAAUGGAUCUCUUGGCUCUU
rnacentral:misc_RNA from 1 species